CCCUUAGAUGUCCUGGGCCGCACGCGCGCUACACUGAGUGUCUGAGUUACGAGUCUGCCUGGUCCGGCAAGGUCUAGGUAAUCGCUAAAAGACACAUCAUGCUUGGGAUAGAUUAUUGCAAAUAUUAAUCUUGAACGAGGAAUUCCUAGUAAGCGCAAGUCAACAGCUUGCGUUGAUUACGUCCCUGCCCUUUGUACACACCGCCCGUCGCUACUACUGAUUGGAUGUUUAAGCGAGGUUCUCGAACUGCUAGCGACUUAGCUUCGGUGAGGUCGCAGUGUGGGAAGUGAACCUAGCUUUGGUGUCUAGAGGAAGUAAAAGUCGUAACA
rnacentral:rRNA from 1 species